UACAGAGGUCUCAAGCGUUGUUCGGAUUCAUUGGGCGUAAAGGGUGCGUAGGUGGCGCGGUAAGUCGGGUGUGAAAUUUCGGAGCUUAACUCCGAAACUGCAUUUGAUACUGCGGUGCUUGAGGACUGGAGAGGAGACUGGAAUUCACGGUGUAGCAGUGAAAUGCGUAGAGAUCGUGAGGAAGACCAGUGGCGAAGGCGGGUCUCUGGACAGUUCCUGACACUGAGGCACGAAGGCCAGGGGAGCAAACGGG
rnacentral:rRNA from 1 species